rfam:Populus trichocarpa scaffold_14_contig_111, whole genome shotgun sequence.
UAAUUUGUUUGGGGCAAAUUCUCUUUUAGUUAUGAUAGACUCACACUUGAUUGAUCGUAAUCACCCAUUAUUGUGUCAACAAUAAUUUUUUAAGAUUUUAAUUGGAGU